rnacentral:snoRNA from 1 species
AAAGAGUGAUGAGCAGAGAGGCUCCCAUGCUUCACAGAAGCUUUCACCAGUCUUCUGUGAGAAACCAGAAAUCUCAUUUCUGAGUCU